UUUUUAAAUAUCAAACUUGAAUAAUAGGCUGUAUUGUAUUAUACAGAAUAUUAUAUUAUUCAGUAUGGAUUUUUUAAAAUGUGCUUCAGUUUCACAUGAUAUUUGAAUGAGUGUUAUAGUAGCCACUAUUUCGGCAUCUGUCAUGGGAUUUCAUUCUUUACAUCAUUGUUUCUUGAAUUAUGUUCUUUGUGGCCUUCUCUUUUGUUUUCUGAGUAUUGUAAAGAAGGAUGGGAAGACAGUAUGCUUUGUGUGGCACUUUUGGUCUACUACAACAAAAAAGGAAAGUUUUUUUUGUCAGGAUAGUAAAGGGUACAAGACACCAAAUUCUAUUUUUCCAUGAAAACACUGCUUAUUGCUGGAAAUUUCUGACAAUAAUAAGGACUGUAUUCUAUUGAAGAUGACCUUAUUGACCUACUGUAUUUAAAUGCUUAGUUGUACUUAAUAACAUUGGUAAGUAUCCUAAUUUUUUUCCAAUGGGUAUAUAUUUAUUUUAUUUAAUUAGACAUGCUAGGCAGAGCCCAUGAUGCGGGGUAUACAAAAAUUUGUUACAUGUACAUUACACAAAAAAAUAUCAUAAUCCAUCCAUUAUUACAGAGAAAAUUAACAUAUACAUAAAUCAAAACAAAAAUUAUACAAGUAUUAUUAUAAACAUCAAAAAUAAAUAUCUGAAAGCAAAAUAUCCAAAUAUAAACAUAUAACAUAAUAACAAAAAAUCAUCAUGGGGAGAACUAUCCAACCAAAAACAUCAUUAUAUAAAGAAAAAGACAUUAAUUACACCCACCUAUAAAAGAAAAAGGAUUCAAUUAUCUUAUCCAAAAUGUGGAUAGUCUCCCAACACUUCUUAGCCACAAGCACACUUUUAAG